UUUUCCAUUAUAAAAAUGAUAUUUGUCCAUCAUGGAAAUUUGGAAAAUACAGAGAGAAAAGACUGUGGCAAUGGCUUGUAUUUUCCUCCCCCAGGUGAACAAAUAUUACAUUUAAGGGUUUUCCCCAGUGUCUCCCCUUCACUUGAGGGUCCUUUGUGGAAAUGUGUGUCUUGCGUUGGCUACUUUGUGUGUUAAUGAGAGACCCUUACUGGACGCAUUAAAAUUUGAGCUGGGCACAGUGGCUCGUGCCUAUAAUCCCAGUGCUUUGACAGGCCGAGGUAGGAGGAUUGCUUGAGGCCUGGAGUUUGAGACCAGUAAACAACAACAACAACACUUGAGGGUAGGAGAUAGUUUUUUUUUCCUUUUUUUUUUUUUU
rnacentral:lncRNA from 1 species